rnacentral:misc_RNA from 1 species
UGCGGCCCUCGCAGCACCGUGUCC